AAAAAACCAUGUAAUGUCAAAAAUUUAAUCACAAUCCAAAUUCAGAGCUGUAUCAAGCUUGAAUGUUUUGUCCAUACUUGCCCCAACUGUUCAGGGUUCGACCUUUGCGGUCGUAUAAAGCUGCGCCCUGCGGAGCACCUGGUUGUAGUUUCCAGGCAAUAUUUUAUGGAACAGUGUAUGGAUCUCUCUGAAAUAAUACCACAAGGUUCCAUACCAGAAAUGGAUGGUUAUGAUUGGCAUUGGGGGUUAUGGCUCAAACUGUUUAGGAAUUAGGGGCAAAAAAGGGGAAAAAACAAGGGUGUCCUGUUUAUCAGACAAUUAUUUUUAAGUAAAAUUUGGAUUACCUCCCGUACAUUGCUUUUAAAUUAUCAAAUGGGUAAUUAUGGUUUCAAACUCCAUUGGAAAUUUGAAUUGAGAUAUUGACCAUAUCUUGAGUGAAAGAAUUGGGGUUUUUUAAUAGGAUGUGGGGGAGUGAAAAGAAAUAAUUGGGAGGGGGGGCAAAUUUUUUCUCAAAAUUUCAAAAAUUUCUUCAAAUAUUUUUUUUGCCAAAAAAAAAGGGUUGGGUGUGGGUAAAAAAAAAAUUUAAAUUGGGGGGGAUUCUCAACAGCUUAAUGUAUUGCACAAAAUAAAAAAAACAAAGGAGGGUUAAAAAAAAAUAUUUUUUUUUAGGGGAGGUAAUUCACAACAGCAUGGUGUAUUGCACAAUAGCAAAAAAUUGAAUACAAAUUCAAAUCAUAUAACGCAUUCUAAGUUCUUUGACUACAGUUAUUCAGUGUCAGAAACCUAUUAUGUGUCAAAUUUUUAAUUACAUUUCAAAUUCAGACCUGUAUCAAGUGCUUAUAUUGUGUCCAUUUUCCCCCCAACUGUUUAGGGUUUGACCUCAGGGGUCGUAUUCAGCUGCAAUCGGCGAUGCAAUUUAUUGAUUGAUAAAAUGUGCUUGUUUCAUAAUUUUCUUUUAAGUAUUAAAUAUCUUUUUCUGUUGAUAGAUAUAUAUAUAUAUAUAUGUGUGUGUACUUAUUCAGAAAUGUUUUACGUGACUGUUUAUUGUGUAAGUUUUAUGUAAUUAUGUUUAUUUCAGUUCAAUUGUACACUUUGAACUUUACUUUCACGAUACUUAAUCAGUUCUUUUGCAU
rnacentral:lncRNA from 1 species